CUUUUUCCAUAAUCUGCCUUAGUGAAUUUCCUGGUAUCGUUAUAGGCAUCGUUAAACUAAGCCAUCGAAGAAAUUUCGGCAUACCCUCGAUUGGCCAGAUCAAUCCUUGAAAAUGUCAAAAUGUUUUGAAUAAAUUCCAAACAUCUUGCGCUCUUAGUAGUAAAUGAUACUACAAUAAAUAAACUUAUGUUUAAUCACUCACCACAAAGAAGAAGCAAUGGAUAAAAAGUUCCCGUUGACGCAUAAUUGGCUACACUAUGAGAAGUACAUGACACUGAUA